GUAGGGGGCAAGCGUUGUCCGGAUUCAUUGGGCGUAAAGAGCGUGUAGGCGGCCGUGCAGGUCCGUUGUGAAAACUGGAGGCUUAACCUCCAGACGUCGAUGGAAACCGCACGGCUAGAGUCCGGAAGAGGAGAGUGGAAUUCCUGGUGUAGCGGUGAAAUGCGCAGAUAUCAGGAAGAACACCCGUGGCGAAGGCGGCUCUCUGGGACGGUACUGACGCUGAGACGCGAAAGCGUGGGGAGCGAACAGGAUUAGAUACCCUGGUAGUCCACGCCGUAAACGAUGGGCGCUAGGUGUGGGUGGUGUCGACUCCAUCCGUGCCGCAGCUAACGCAUUAAGCGCCCCGCCUGGGGAGUACGGCCGCAAGGCUAAA
rnacentral:rRNA from 1 species